AGAGUUUGAUCCUGGCUCAGAUUGAACGCUGGCGGAAUGCUUUACACAUGCAAGUCGAGCGGCAGCGCAGGGCAACCUGGCGGCGAGCGGCGAACGGGUGAGUAAUGCAUCGGAACAUGUCCAUGUCGUGGGGGAUAGCCCGGCGAAAGCCGGAUUAAUACCGCAUAAGCCCGAGAGGGGAAAGCAGGGGACCGCAAGGCCUUGCGCGAUUGGGUUGGCCGAUGUCCGAUUAGUUUGUUGGUGAGGUAAAGGCUUACCAAGGCGAUGAUCGGUAGCUGGUCUGAGAGGAUGAUCAGCCACACUGGGACUGAGACACGGCCCAGACUCCUACGGGAGGCAGCAGUGGGGAAUUUUGGACAAUGGGGGCAACCCUGAUCCAGCCAUUCCGCGUGAGUGAAGAAGGCCUUCGGGUUGUAAAGCUCUUUUGUCCGGAGCGAAACGGUGGCGGUGAAUAUCCGCCACUACUGACGGUACCGGAAGA
rnacentral:rRNA from 1 species